rnacentral:rRNA from 1 species
AGUGAACGCUGGCGGUAGGCCUAACACAUGCAAGUCGAACGGCAGCACAGUAAGAGCUUGCUCUUACGGGUGGCGAGUGGCGGACGGGUGAGGAAUACAUCGGAAUCUACUUUUUCGUGGGGGAUAACGUAGGGAAACUUACGCUAAUACCGCAUACGACCUACGGGUGAAAGCAGGGGAUCGUCGGACCUUGCGCGGUUGAAUGAGCCGAUGUCGGAUUAGCUAGUUGGCGGGGUAAAGGCCCACCAAGGCGACGAUCCGUAGCUGGUCUGAGAGGAUGGUCAGCCACCCUAGAACUGGGACACGGUCCAGGCUCCUACGGGAGGCAGCAGUGGGGUAUAUUGGACAAUGGGCGCAAGCCUGAUCCAGCCAGCCCGCGUGUGUGAAGAAGGCCUUCGGGUUGUAAAGCCCUUUUGUUGGGAAAGAACAGCAGCAGGCUAAUACCCCGCUGUUCUGACGGUACCCAAAGAAUAAGCACCGGCUAACUUCGUG